CCACCAUUCACUUCACCGUCACAUCACGUCGCGUCACACAAGGAUAAGCUAUAUAUUAAGAGCACAGUGAUUACUGCAGAGCCGUGAGGUCAAGGAUUACCAAUGACUGGAGUUGCACCUUGUGUACGAAUGAACAAGCAACCUCUCAAGUCAUCGGUUGAAGAUCCGCCUUUUCAGGAUUUUGAAAAUGAGGAAUAAGUCAACAUCUCAACAGAAGUAGAAUAAUCACUUGAAGGUGUACCUCUGCAAGAUACUUUAAAUGGAGAAAACGCCAUUUCUCCAAUGGAACUAGAAACAUCACAUGGAGAUCGACGUCUGCAAGACAUUCGAAAUGAAUAACACGCCAUCUGUCCUAGGGAGAAUCAGCAGCUGAAAACCCUCUUUUGCAAGACUGAAAAUGAGGAACAAGCAACCCCUCCAGUGAUGGUUUCCUUCCAGUUAUUUGAAGAGAGUACAAAUCAUGGUCACAACAAGCUUAUUGUUAGUCUAGGAUAUACUUAUAACGUAAAAUUAUGGCAGCCAAAUGUAACAUAAUGGCAGUGUACUGUCCGUCCAAAGAUAAUCCCAUGCAAAGCAACAGUCACGCUAAGAAAUAAAACGUUUAUGAAGAGUAA